AUUGAACGCUGGCGGCAGGCUUAACACAUGCAAGUCGAGCGGAGAGAGGUAGCUUGCUACUGAUCUUAGCGGCGGACGGGUGAGUAAUGCUUAGGAAUCUGCCUAUUAGUGGGGGACAACAUCUCGAAAGGAAUGCUAAUACCGCAUACGUCCUACGGGAGAAAGCAGGGGAUCUUCGGACCUCGCGCUAAUAGAUGAGCCUACGUCGGAUUAGCUAGUUGGUGGGGUAAAGGCCUACCAAGGCGACGAUCUGUAGCGGGUCUGAGAGGAUGAUCCGCCACACUGGGACUGAGACACGGCCCAGACUCCUACGGGAGGCAGCAGUGGGGAAUAUUGGACAAUGGGCGGAAGCCUGGUCCAGCCAUGCCGCGUGUGUGAAGAAGGCCUUAUGGUUGUAAAGCACUUUAAGCGAGGAGGAGGCUACUUUAGUUAAUACCUAGAGAUAGUGGACGUUACUCGCAGAAUAAGCACCGGCUAACUCUGUGCCAGCAGCCGCCGUAAAAC
rnacentral:rRNA from 1 species